UCUACGGUGCGCAGCAGUGAGGAAUAUUGGUCAAUGGGCGAGAGCCUGAACCAGCCAAGUCGCGUGAGGGAAGACGGUCCUAUGGAUUGUAAACCUCUUUUGUCGGGGAGCAAAAAGGCCUCGUGAGGCCACAAGUGAGAGUACCCGAAGAAAAAGCAUCGGCUAACUCCGUGCCAGCAGCCGCGGUAAUAGGUAGGAUGCGAGCGUUAUUCGGAUUUAUUGGGUUUAAAGGUUGCGUGGGGGGACUGGAAAGGCAGCGGUAAAAUCGAGAGGCUCAACCUCUUUCCGCCGUUGAAACUGUCGGUCUUGAGUGGGCGAGAGGUAUGCGGAAUGCGUGGUGUAGCGGUGAAAUGCAUAGAUAUCACGCAGAACUCCGAUUGCGAAGGCAGCAUACCGGCGCCCGACUGACGUUGAGGCACGAAAGCGUGGGUAUCGAACAGGAUUAGAUACCCUUGUAGUC
rnacentral:rRNA from 1 species